rnacentral:other from 1 species
AGUCCUCUAUGAUAGUCGCCAGUAGGUUCAGCAUUUUUGAACCGAUAAUCAUUAUCCAGGGAAUGGUUGUAGUCAUCGCUGUUGUGCAUACCCGCAUAUUGCGGGAAGCCUGAUGCGGUGCUCGCCUGUCCCACUUGAACCCCCAGGGUUCAUAACAGCGCCUGCAGCGAUAUCAUGGAGGUUUC